rnacentral:misc_RNA from 1 species
GAAAAAGCGCGGGAAACGUCGAAAGAGCGGGAGUGUUUUUUUGUAUUUUAAAAAAUCUUUUAUGGUUCAGAUAGGUGUAAAGUAUAUUUGUUAUUUUAGUUCUUUUUAGUUUUUAAUUUGUAAUUAGUGUAAAUAUUUCUUCGUAGGGUAAGUUUUUAAUUCCUUUAUUUUGUUCUCUCCAUGGGAGACGAACCUCCCGAUCCUGGGGGCACAGUCCCGCAGGUAUCGCAUUAUGUAACUAUCGAUCAUUGCGAAUCAUCCAUGGAUACGGAUGUUAGCUCUGUAAAUAAUACGAAACUACCGCGAAAGCGUACAAAUGUUUUAAGAAUUUGUAAACACUGUAAUUAAAAACGAAAGCGUCAUGGCAAGAUAAUUAAAGAUAGCGAGUGUUCUUGUGUAAAUGAUGAAAAUAAUUGUGAUAUGUCUGAUACAAAAAUCCCAACUACUACAACUCGCCUUUACCAAGCCUCAGAUAUUGGCCCAUAUGUUGUCCAUAUACAAAAACAACAAGUGUCUCCAGAUGAAAAUGUCACUCUUCACCCUGUCUCUUUUGGUCGAUUUCUUAAAAAUAAUUCAUUUAAAAAUAUUCUAAAUGGAAGUUUGAAGAGAAUUGGCAGAAAUAGGCUCUCUUACAUUUACAAAUUUUUCAGAUGCUAAUAACUUUACCAGCGAUACUAAGCUUUCGAGUAAUAAAUUCAAAGCCUUUAUUCCAUCAUUUAAUGUUUCUAGAAUGGGUAUUAUAAGAGGGAUUCCCAAAGAAUGGUCUACAGAAGAGGUGAUCCAGAAUGUUUCUGUUCCCCCAGGUUGUGGGAGUGUUUUAAAAGCAAGGCGACUAAAAAAGAAAACAUUUAUUGAUAAUAAAGCCAGUUUUAUUGAUACGGAAACAGUUGUCCUGACUUUCGAUGGCCAAAUUCUUCCUAAAAGAAUUUUCAUAUGUUUUAAUUCUUUUCCUGUAGACUUAUAGUAUAUUUACCCUACUAUACAAUGUUUUAAAUGUUGUCGAUAUGGACAUGUCAAAGAUAUGUGUAGAUCAACUCCUCGCUGCUUUAAAUGUGGUAAGGACGGUCAUUUUCAUAAAGAAUUUUUAAGGCAAAAAAAUAUCAAAGAACAUAUGGCUAAUAAUAAUCAUGAUAUACCUUUUUAAAAUUCUUGUAUUGUGCCCUUCAAUUUGAUACCCAUAUUGUAGUAUUCGAGAAAAAAAAUUUUUUUUUCAUUAAAUACAAUGGCUUCGCACAGCCGCCAUGUUUGAUUUUUUUUAAUGUCACCUAUCUAAGAACACUUGGGCAGCUAAGACGAAC